rnacentral:rRNA from 1 species
UGGGGAAUAUUGGACAAUGGGGGAAACCCUGAUCCAGCAAUGCCGCGUGAGUGAAGAAGGCCUUAGGGUUGUAAAGCUCCUUCGCCCGCGAAGAUAAUGACGGUAGCGGGAGAAGAAGCCCCGGCUAACUCCGUGCCAGCAGCCGCGGUAAUACGGAGGGGGCUAGCGUUGUUCGGAAUUACUGGGCGUAAAGCGUACGUAGGCGGAUGCGCAAGUUGGGGGUGAAAUCCCGGGGCUUAACCUCGGAAUUGCCCUCAAAACUGCACGUCUUGAGACCGAGAGAGGUAAGGGGAAUUCCUAGUGUAGAGGUGAAAUUCGUAGAUAUUAGGAAGAACACCAGUGGCGAAGGCGCCUUACUGGCUCGGUACUGACGCUGAGGUACGAAAGCGUGGGGAGCAAACA